CAGUGAGGAAUAUUGGUCACAUGGGCGAGAGGCUGAACCAGCCAAGUCCGCGUGAAGGAUGAAGGUUCUAUGGAUCUUAAACUUCUUUUAUAAGGGAAUAAAGUGCGGGACGUGUCCCGUUUUGUAUGUACCUUAUGAAUAAGGAUCGGCUAACUCCGUGCCAGCAGCCGCGGUAAUACG
rnacentral:rRNA from 1 species